rnacentral:lncRNA from 1 species
AAGCUUUAGUGGGUAACUUGGACUCUGUCCAGGACAGUGUGACUGACCAGUGCUUUCCAGAAAUUGUCAAGGAUCAAAUCUCAGGCUUCUUCCUUUCAGUGCUUGUUAAAGGUUCUAGAGUAAAUGUGAAUUACUCUCUUCAUCUUAAUGAUCCAUUCCAGGUAUCCAUCCACUGGAGAAUCGUGCUCUAUGAUAACAUACGGGUAUACAUGCUCUCUCUCUCUCUUCCUCUCCCCCACUCUCUCCCACUAGGCUGAAACACAUGAAUCUUUUAGUUCCC